CUGUUCUCUUCACAGUGCCUCUCCUAUUAAAGGAAAAUUGUGACUGUGAGGAAUCUGCCUAGGAGCCAUGAGUCUUUAGAGGAAUCUGAUCACCAAGGGACCAGUGGAGUCACACCAGGUCAAGUUCUUUACCUGCACGGAGUUAAUGUGGAAUCUAUGUGAAUAAUAAGGUACUGCUUCAUAUUAUGGUAUGUCAUUUUUAUAGGAGUAACACCAAUAAUAAAACUUUGAUAUUACAGCA
rnacentral:lncRNA from 1 species